UACGUAGGGGCCUAGCGUUGUCCGGAUUUAUUGGGCGUAAAGAGCGUGUAGGCGGCCAUUCAGGUCAGCUGUGAAAACUCGAGGCUCAACCUCGAGACGUCGGUUGAAACCGUUUGGCUAGAGUCCGGAAGAGGAGAGUGGAAUUCCCGGUGUAGCGGUGAAAUGCGCAGAUAUCGGGAAGAACACCCGUGGCGAAGGCGGCUCUCUGGGACGGUACUGACGCUGAGACGCGAAAGCGUGGGGAGCGAACAGG
rnacentral:rRNA from 1 species